UCAAACCAGGGUCUCCUGUCUUGAUACUGUAUCUGCGAGGCUAUCUUGUUGGAACAUUUCUGGGGAUUCUCCUGUUUCCAGCACAUUUUCUCCCUCUAGAAACACUGGGAUUUCUGAUGUUGAAUAGCCACCUGAAACUUUAUAUAUAAUCAGGUUCCUGAGAAAUGACUGAAGUAUCUGCAAGCAUUCCUGUUUGUCCUGCCAGAGUCUGGCCCCAACUCAAACCAAGCCAUCAUCUUGGACAAAGUCAGAAAAAUUAAACUGAGAGAUUUUGCAUGUAACCCAACAGAAGAGGAGGCAGAGUGUGAGAUACAUGGGAGAUGGAGGACACCAGGAGAACAAGCUUUCCACAGCAGUCACACAAAAGGUCAGAGGAAAUCUUAUGGAGUCAAUUCUGUUCUAUGCUGUGGAUCCCAAGGACUGACCUGUGUCAAGAUGGGGCUAGGCCAACAGUCACAGGCGAUUGCCAGAAAAACAAAAUUCCUGCUGCUGCAGAUUUUGGAUGUGUCAGACAAAUUCCAGAGCAUUUUACUUUGCAGAACAAAAAGGAAACCAUCUUUACAGUGACUGGAGCAGAACACUGUACACACGUCAGUGCUGAAGAACCAGGAUCUCCGGCCACAUAGAUGAUAACACAGAUCAUUACUGUGCCAGUCACUACCAAGAGAAGUCCAAUAUUCAAACUUGCACUAGAGAUGGCAAGGGAAAUGUUUCAGUCAAGCCAUGAAUAAAUAAGACCAAUACCAACAGUGUAUAAUAUUCCUCCAACACCCACACCCAUAGCAUUUUACAAUUGUGUCAGAGCAAUGGCUUAAAGCACAAAGCUUCUUUCUGCAAUAUGAUAUAGUUUUCAGAGUAUAUCCUACAGAGCUUAAAAGACUUAAAGCUGUUGGGGAGGGCUAUCAGAGGGCAAUUAACACAUAUACAUUUAAUAGAGUAUAAAUAUUUUAAAUAUACAUUAUUAUCAUUUCCAGCAUUUCUGGAAUCUCACCAUCACCCAUGCUCCAGCAUUCAGGCAAAAUGCCUAGUCAUUCCCCAGCCUUAUGUAAUCUAUGUGCACACGCAGCCUGACCACAUAAUCUAUGCGCAUGCAUGCCUGCAUGGCCUGGCUACAUAAGCCCCCAUAGGCAUGCCCGGAGUAACUUUUAAAAGUAGACAUACAGACCACACUCCCUCUCUCUAGCCACAUUUCUUCCAGGGAGACCUGUGCAUACCACCUCUUCCCUUUCCUUACUCUUUACUAAUAAAACUCUUGAAUUGGGCUUUGCUGUAUAUCUUGUGGUCUGUUCUCACUCACAGUAAGUAACAUAUGUAUAUAUUUAGCAGAAUAUAUUAUAUUAACAUGCAGAUAUGCAUGUAUACACACAUAGUCAUGCACACACAUGCACGUACUCACACGUGCAUGCACACAGUCCCCCGCCCCCUGCAACACACACACACGGAUAUAAUAUAUUCCUUCUGCCUAUCAGCCCAACACAGACUCUUUAGGUUCUCCAUGUCUUAGUAAGUUAAUAUUCCAUUCCCACAAGCCCAUUAUAUGAAUAAGCAUAGGUCUAAAUUUUGAGUUCCAGAGACUUCCAUGCCUAUAGUAAAUAUCAUCUUAAGCAAAAAGUUACUAUACAUUUUUCUACAUGUUUAUUAAGUGUUACUUGAUUGAAUGAUUGAUUUGCUCCAAGCCUAGCUAUAUUUGUUGAGUUUCAUGGUUCAAAUUAAUUGACAUCGAUGUUAUAUCCAAAUAUUUGAUUCUUCCUGAGAUGUUUAUCCCUUAAAGUACUUCCUAACUUAGCCACAAGGCAUUCAUAUUAUCAAUGUCAAACUGAAACAGUGGGGAGAGUGGCACUUUCCAUCCAUUUUGUUUUGAUCAGCAACAUGUGUGUAUGUCAUUUAUUUGCAAUUAGCUCCUUUCCCUCCUCCAUUAGUUCUGAGCAACAGAUGGUAUCCUGAAAGUGUGACUUUUUGCUAUUGGCACGUCCUACAUUUCCUUAUGAUGACCAGAUGUCUCUCUUGGGUUUAGUUCUCAUGGGUCUGGAUAGUAUUUUUUUUUUCAUGUAUAUUCGCUAGGUUAAGAGGCCAAAGACAUAAAAUCAGCAAGACAAUUGUCCUUACCACAGAGGUGUGUGUGUGUGGGGGGGAGACACUUUAUUAAAAAAUACACUCAGGAUAGUUACUUAGCUGGGGGAGAUACCAUGAUCACCAAGGUGGUUUUCCCAGGGCGAGCCUAACGUGUUGCACUCAGAUAUGCUGACCCCUGAGAUUUCCCCAAAUGCAGAAAAUUCAGCUGCAUAAUAUGGGGCAGUGGGUGACUGCAUUUCUGCUCUUCUUGAAAAAAAAAUUAAAUAAAUAAAAAUUAAAAGUACACUUAGAGACAAUAUGGAGAUGGCUAAUAUUUUUGUGGCAUUAUAAAUAGCUCAGAUAUUUCGUCAAAUAAAGAUGUAAAUAGAAAACUAAAAAGGAGAAAACCCACUUUUACAUGAAGUAUUCUGAAGUUUCAGAACUAUUUACCAAAUAUGAACAAAAAAAAAGGAAAAAUUCUUGGGAGCUAAUCAGUUUUAUGUGGAAGUCUUUCCAUGACAAAGUUUUCAAAAGAUGUUCUAAAAGACAUAUUUUGCAGAAAAAAAAUUAACCUUCUCUCCAUAGCACGCAUUUGCAUUUCAAAGUUAUGGUUCCAUGGUGCUAAUUAAGAGAGUUUUCAUAUGGAAAUUCAAGGGGACUGCUGAGCCCUACACUGGACACUGCUUCUCCAAGUUAUUCAUGGUUUUUGUUUGAUUAGGGUUUCACUUGAUGCAAAUAAGAUGCCAAAUUGUGCUGGAUUUGAAGAAGUAGAAGUUCGAAAGACAGUUUGUGAAAUGAGAGCAAUGGCAAAUACUUCACAUCCUCCUGUGAAAGGCAGCUUAGACAAAGUCAUAAUGCUGUAAGGAAAGGAGAGUCACCAAAAGUGCCAGGGGAGGCAACAGGAGGAAUCUGUUGAAAACUAUGGACCAGUUUUCAUUAGAAAGGAGAAUGGAGACGGCUUGAAGUUAAUGGUAUCAGCAUAACAACUGCCACCUCAACUGAGUGGGUUUCUGUUGCCACCACACUCCAAAUAUGAGUUAGGUGAGGCUCACUUGUUAAGAGAACUCAGUCCUCUUGCAGCAGACACAAAUACCGUGCUCAUAACCUACAUACAGUAGCUUAUAAUUGUCUGUAACUCUAGCUGUCUACAGGAAGAGCUUCUCUCAAUGCUUUGGCCACUUUCACUAACAUGUACACAGGUACAUAGAGAUAGCUAAAAAUAAAAGUAAUAUGACUUAGACUGUAGGUAAGAAAGAACAUACAGAAUCAAAAUGAGUAGACACAUGCUAAAUUACAGUCUUUGGUUAAGUUCAAAGUAGCUGUUGAGUAACUGCUCUUGGUGACUUUAAUUAAAACAGAAAAAUGUAGGUAUAUUCUUUUUAUAUUUGUUUUAAUAUUGAUGACUGCAAACCACUAAGAAAUACAUUGGAAAAGCUUUAGUUAAUCCAGUUUAAAUGUUGAAAAUAAUUAGCAAGUAUUCAAGCAUCUCUUAUUACUAACAGAAAGAAAAAUAUACUUUUAAAGUAUUUCAAUUAGU